CCAUCUUUCUGUUCCAUUCAACUUGAUAUGAGCAUAGUUGCUUUAAUUUUUGAAUCGUCUGUCCUUUUUUAUUUGUUUAUUAAGAGAGCCAGGCUGAUAGAAGUAUGUAAAGAAAGCUUAGAAAGAACAGAUCAAUGAAGCCAGAAACUUUACAAAAUAAUCGUCCAUGUUUAUGCAGGCUUGCUUGGCACUGUACUUGUCUAGCGGGUCAUUCUCAAUAAAAAAAGACCAUCAUUGCAUUACUCUGACCGUGGCAAUGCUCAUCGCCAGCAGUAAGGCCUACCAUCUGUAGCGACAGCUUGGUUUUCAACAUGUGUAACACUUGUGCAGUUGUAAGAUGUGUAGUGUGAAUGCUAAGGAUGACGUUUCUGCGACUGAUAUUUAUGUAAGAUGUGCGAAAUCUCUAAUCCUUGCAUAGUAUUGUAUCAGAAAUUAUGAUUUGGCAAAGUUCAGCAAUCCACAGUUGCUAGCACCAUUUUCUGUCGAUUGUAGGUCGAAGGACCGUUCAAAGCCAUUUAUUUUGAGUGGAAUUCCAAGCCA